AUUGAUUGGUGCUUGCAUCAUGAUUUACAUUUGAGUGAGUGGCGAACUGGUGAGUAACACGUGGGAAACCUGCCCAGAAGCGGGGGAUAACACCUGGAAACAGAUGCUAAUACCGCAUAACAACUUGGACCGCAUGGUCCGAGUUUGAAAGAUGGCUUCGGCUAUCACUUUUGGAUGGUCCCGCGGCGUAUUAGCUAGAUGGUGGGGUAACGGCUCACCAUGGCAAUGAUACGUAGCCGACCUGAGAGGGUAAUCGGCCACAUUGGGACUGAGACACGGCCCAAACUCCUACGGGAGGCAGCAGUAGGGAAUCUUCCACAAUGGACGAAAGUCUGAUGGAGCAACGCCGCGUGAGUGAAGAAGGGUUUCGGCUCGUAAAACUCUGUUGUUAAAGAAGAACAUAUCUGAGAGUAACUGUUCAGGUAUUGACGGUAUUUAACCAGAAAGCCACGGCUAACUACGUGCCAGCAGCCGCGGUAAUACGUAGGUGGCAAGCGUUGUCCGGAUUUAUUGGGCGUAAAGCGAGCGCAGGCGGUUUUUUAAGUCUGAUGUGAAAGCCUUCGGCUCAACCGAAGAAGUGCAUCGGAAACUGGGAAACUUGAGUGCAGAAGAGGACAGUGGAACUCCAUGUGUAGCGGUGAAAUGCGUAGAUAUAUGGAAGAACACCAGUGGCGAAGGCGGCUGUCUGGUCUGUAACUGACGCUGAGGCUCGAAAGUAUGGGUAGCAAACAGGAUUAGAUACCCUGGUAGUCCAUACCGUAAACGAUGAAUGCUAAGUGUUGGAGGGUUUCCGCCCUUCAGUGCUGCAGCUAACGCAUUAAGCAUUCCGCCUGGGGAGUACGGCCGCAAGGCUGAAACUCAAAGGAAUUGACGGGGGCCCGCACAAGCGGUGGAGCAUGUGGUUUAAUUCGAAGCUACGCGAAGAACCUUACCAGGUCUUGACAUACUAUGCAAAUCUAAGAGAUUAGACGUUCCCUUCGGGGACAUGGAUACAGGUGGUGCAUGGUUGUCGUCAGCUCGUGUCGUGAGAUGUUGGGUUAAGUCCCGCAACGAGCGCAACCCUUAUUAUCAGUUGCCAGCAUUAAGUUGGGCACUCUGGUGAGACUGCCGGUGACAAACCGGAGGAAGGUGGGGAUGACGUCAAAUCAUCAUGCCCCUUAUGACCUGGGCUACACACGUGCUACAAUGGAUGGUACAACGAGUUGCGAACUCGCGAGAGUAAGCUAAUCUCUUAAAGCCAUUCUCAGUUCGGAUUGUAGGCUGCAACUCGCCUACAUGAAGUCGGAAUCGCUAGUAAUCGCGGAUCAGCAUGCCGCGGUGAAUACGUUCCCGGGCCUUGUACACACCGCCCGUCACACCAUGAGAGUUUGUA
rnacentral:rRNA from 2 species